rnacentral:rRNA from 1 species
GAUUUAUUUUUGUUUAUUAUUUUUAUUUUUAGGUGAAAUUAAAAUAUUUAUUAAUCUUUAUUUUUGAUUCUUUGAAAUUUAAAAUUUAAACUAGGAUUAGAUACCCUAUUAUUUUAAACAUUAAAUUUGACCAGGGUAGUAUUAGAUAUGUUCUUUAAACCUAAAGAAUUUGGCGGUGUUUUAGUCUAUUUAGAGGAAUUUGUCCCUUGAUCGAUAGUCCUCGUUAUAUCUUUCUUAGUUUAUUAAUAGUAUGUAUACCGCCGUUAUAAGUUUAUUUUUUAAGAAUUUAAUUUACUUUAUAUUUUAUUUAAUUUUAUUUCAGGUCAAGGUGCAGCUUAUAAUUAAGUGGUGAUGAAUUACAAUAUUAUUUGAGUAUAUGAAUUUUAAUAAGAAUAUAUUUAAUGAAGGUGGAUUUAAUAGUAAUUUUAAUAAUAGUGUUAAUUUGAUUUUAGCUCUAGAAUGAGUACAUAUCGCCCGUCACUCUCAAUUUGUUUGAGAUAAGUCGUAACAUAGUAGAUGUACUGGAAAGUGUAUCUAGUAUGU